UUGUUCUUUAAAUGGGGACUAGAAUCAACGGCAUCACGAGGGUCUUACUGUCUCCUUUCUCUAAUCAGUGAAACUGAUCUCUCCGUGAAGAAGCGGGGAUAAAGAUAUAAGACGAGAAGACCCCAUGGAGCUUCAAGCUCAACAAGUACUCUUUUCCACUAACCUUACAGACUCUAGAAUCUACUUGUUAGCUUUAGGUUGGGGUGACCGCGGAGAAAAACUUAACCUCCAUAAUGAAAAGAAUAAAAUCCUAAUCUAUGAGCCACACCUCUAAGAAUCAACAAAUUGACAUAAAAUGACCCGAUAAUUCGAUCAAUGAACCAAGUUACCCUGGGGAUAACAGCGCCAUCCACUUCAAGAGCCCAUAUCGACGAGUGGGUUUACGACCUCGAUGUUGGAUCAGGGUGUCCCAGUGGUGCAGCCGCUACUAAAGGUUCGUUUGUUCAACGAUUAAAAC
rnacentral:rRNA from 1 species